rnacentral:rRNA from 1 species
CACUCCUACGGGAGGCAGCAGUGGGGAAUUUUGGACAAUGGGCGAAAGCCUGAUCCAGCAAUGCCGCGUGAGUGAAGAAGGCCUUCGGGUUGUAAAGCUCUUUUGUCAGGGAAGAAACGGUGAAAGCUAAUAUCUUUUGCUAAUGACGGUACCUGAAGAAUAAGCACCGGCUAACUACGUGCCAGCAGCCGCGGUAAUACGUAGGGUGCAAGCGUUAAUCGGAAUUACUGGGCGUAAAGCGUGCGCAGGCGGUUUUGUAAGUCUGAUGUGAAAUCCCCGGGCUCAACCUGGGAAUUGCAUUGGAGACUGCAAGGCUAGAAUCUGGCAGAGGGGGGUAGAAUUCCACGUGUAGCAGUGAAAUGCGUAGAUAUGUGGAGGAACACCGAUGGCGAAGGCAGCCCCCUGGGUCAAGAUUGACGCUCAUGCACGAAAGCGUGGGGAGCAAACAGGAUUAGAUACCCGGGUAGUCCCAUGA